rnacentral:rRNA from 1 species
GAGCGGACGUAGCAAUACGUCAGCGGCAGACGGGAGAGUAACACGUGGGAACGCGCCCUUCGGUUCGGAAUAACUCAGGGAAACUUGGGCUAAUACCGGAUACGCCCUUACGGGGAAAGAUUUAUUGCCGAAGGAACGGCCCGCGUCCGAUUAGCUUGUUGGUGAGGUAACGGCUCACCAAGGCGACGAUCGGUAGCUGGUCUGAGAGGAUGACCAGCCUCACUGGGACUGAGACACGGCCCAGACUCCUACGGGAGGCAGCAGUGGGGAAUAUUGGACAAUGGGCGCAAGCCUGAUCCAGCCAUGCCGCGUGGGUGAUGAAGGCCUUAGGGUUGUAAAGCCCUUUCGGCGGGGAAGAUAAUGACGGUACCCGCAGAAGAAGCCCCGGCUAACUUCGUG